rnacentral:lncRNA from 1 species
GUCGGUUUUCAUGUACAUUUUACUUCCUUCUUUUUGAAUUUGCCUUAGAGUUCGGUAUUUUUUUUAAUUCUUUUUUUAUUUUCUAUAAAAGAGUCGACUGUGGACCCUUAGCUCAUUGGUCAUUAUUUCUAACAUACCUUUCAUACAUUAUCUGCUCAUAAACUAUUAAGGACUUAAGGUUUUAAAUCCCUCUAGUACAUUUUAUCUUAUGUAGGUUUUGGUCCUAUUCCCUGUAUGGCCGUUU